CAUUUUUUUUAUAUUGUUGUUAGAUAUUCAUCUUGAAGCUAAAAAAAGAUACAAUGUUGGCUAUAUUUCACAAAGCAUUUGCUCAUCCUCCUGAAGAAUUAAAUAGUCCUGCAUCAAAAAAAUGCUUACUUCCUCAACAAACUCUUCAAAAAUUCAUCUCGACUCGUCCAUUUGACACCUCUUAUUUUACCUUUGGAGAUGCUGCUGCUCUUGCUUUUGUUCGUCCUAAUUGCACUUCCUUGCUCAAUCACACACAAAGCAACAGCAGCAGCCAUGUGAUUUCACUAUUACUGAUCCAGGCUUCGGGGAUGAUGUUUUUAACUUUUCCUCCAAACUCCUAGAAUAGAUGGUUACUUCUCAGGACCAUGGGCAGAGCUACGGUGGUUCCUGGGUGGUCAGCUGAGCACUCUUCGUCGGAAAAUUAUACUGUAUAAGUCAAAUCUUACUUUAUAUUGGUAUAUAAUAGUAUUUUGGGGACAAUCUUUUCAACUUUUCCUCCAUAGCCCUGGAAUAAUUGGUUACUUCCAGAGGCGGAUUCAGGGCGAGUUCUGAGUUGAAGUGAACAUAUUGUUUUCAACUUCCACUCCAUAUACAUAUACUCUGGGUUGAAUUUAGAAUUUAAACUGAACUAAUUGUACUUUUUAAUUAUGGAUACAUAAUCUCUAUUUGUUUUUGUUUUUUUGACUUCUACACAUAUGUUAUGUGAAAAAAAUAUUGAGUUUGACUGAACUCAUAGUUAAAUUAUUGCAUCCGCCUUCAUGUAUAAUAAGAUCACACUUAUUUUAAA